UUCCUACGGGGGGCAGCAGUGGGGGAUAUUGCACAAUGGGGGGAACCCUGAUGCAGCGACGCCGCGUGGGUGAAGAAGCGCCUCGGCGCGUAAAGCCCUGUCAGCAGGGAAGAGCAGAAGACGGUACCUCUUGAAUAAGCCACGGCUAACUACGUGCCAGCAGCCGCGGUAAUACGUAGGUGGCAAGCGUUGUCCGGAUUUACUGGGUGUAAAGGGCGUGCAGCCGGGAAGACAAGUCAGAUGUGAAAUCCCGCGGCUCAACCGCGGAACUGCAUUUGAAACUGUUUUUCUUGAGUACCGGAGAG
rnacentral:rRNA from 1 species